rnacentral:rRNA from 1 species
CAGUCGCCGCGGUAAUACGGAGGGUGCAAGCGUUAAUCGGAAUUACUGGGCGUAAAGCGCACGCAGGCGGUCUGUCAAGUCAGAUGUGAAAUCCCCGGGCUUAACCUGGGAACUGCAUUUGAAACUGGCAGGCUGGAGUCUUGUAGAGGGGGGUAGAAUUCCAGGUGUAGCGGUGAAAUGCGUAGAGAUCUGGAGGAAUACCGGUGGCGAAGGCGGCCCCCUGGACAAAGACUGACGCUCAGGUGCGAAAGCGUGGGGAGCAAACAGGAUUAGAUACCCCUGUAGUCCCUGUCUCUUAUAA